rnacentral:pre_miRNA from 1 species
UGGACAGAUUAUUGUAUUCGACUGUCUUCAACUAUAUUCACGGCGUGAAACAGGGGAUUACACUGUCUUUAAACGGAAAGUGAACCAAUUAACAUAAUAGACUCCU